AGAGCCCUGCUUUCGGCGAACCCUUUAGUUCCACUAGAGGAAUUAUUAGUUGAUCGUGGGGCUCA
rnacentral:sRNA from 25 species